UAGGGUUUGUUUGAAAAGGAGCAACAACUGGAGGAAUGAAAUCCAGGUCUAAUGACAAUGUUCAGGCAUCCCAAAAAUGUCACUAGUAAGAAAACAGUUUGAAUGUUUCCAUAAAUAUUAGAAAUACAGCUAUCACACAACAGAGCAUCUCUACUUCCGGUUAUCUCCCUAAAGGUAAUGCUAAUGUACAACACAAAAAAACCGUUAUGCCACUGUUGAUAACAUUAUUCAGAAGAACCACAGAGGAAAAUCAAUCCAAAUGAUCACCAAUUGCUCUAGACAUUCUCACUGUAGAUGUCAAAUCAUCCAGUCUUUUUCUAUGUAUGGUAACUCAAUUCACGGUUCUCAAUUACCGUAUCGGGUCACUUCUCUUAAAUCUUUGAUGGUUCCCUAUUAUUGUCAGGAUAUAGAUCAAACCGUUGAGCACGUUAUACCGCUGAACUUUCGUUAUAGGCGUUAUCUUUGGCUAUCAUGCACAUAGCUGCAUUCCAUCCACAUGAGAAUGACAGUUCCUGAGUACUGCACAUACUUUCACAAUUCCCUGCCUCUGCUUCGAUUAAUCCCUCUAUCUUCAACUCCCUUUCUUUCCCACCUUGUCCGUUUCCAGGUCAAAGGAAACAGCCUCUCCUCCUGAUGGCUUCCCUGAGUCCUCCCCCGCGUUCCCAGGGGCGUUCUCGCUUCUCCUCGCUCACUCUUUCACAACGUAUCUACCUGUCACCUUCCUUACAAGUCACAACCGCACACCGUGAAUACAGGCAAAACGUAUUAUCUCUGCUCAGCUCAAAGGUUUAACAAAAAGCAAUGGUUUCAAAGAGAAUGUUCUGAAAUCAGGACUAGCUUCACAUUCCUUAUCACAGAUGUGGCUCUUUAUGGGAUCCAGCCCUGCCCAAAGCUCCAACGUAAUCCCCCGUCAUUUGUCAUGCUCCACUCCAGCCCCUUUCUGGGCCUUCAACACGCAGGCUCCAUGCCUGAAGGACUUUGGCCUGAACUAGCAAUUAACACUCAGUCUUUCUCUCUCUGGGACAUUCUUUGGCUGUACCUCAGUAUGGCUGGUCCACCCCCUUAUUCAGGACUCAGCUCAGACUCUGCGACCACCCAUCCUAUCUGAACCUUCUUCCUCCUUUUCAGCCAUUCUCCAAACCUUCAAUCUGAUCCAUUUCUCAUGUUAUUUUUUAACUGUUUAUUAUCUAUCCUCCAUCUUAGACUGGGAGAUCCAUUAUCACGGAGGGUUUGUUCUAUACAGGAUUUACCCUCAGUGCCACAAUAUACAAUACCUAAUAUAUUUACUUAUUGAAUAAAUGGCUACAUCAAGUGGCAUUCAGACUGGCAGAUGGAACAGUACAAGAGGAACGAAGGUCGAUAUUUUAUGGUUUACAUCUUGCAUGGCUUCUGAUCACUAAUAAGAUAUGCUUGUUGCUCUGAGGAUAUAAUUUCAGUAAAUUGCUUUAAUUGCAUUGGAAAUUGCCAGUUAAAUGUUUGUUUUCCUUAGACAUGGGACUCUGAGAUUCAGAUAUUACAUCUGCAAGGUUUAACAGUGAAACACACAAAUGGGUCCAAUCUGGAUAUGUUUCUCAGAAAUUCUCAAUGUUGAUAAUUCAAGUUCCUAGGUGUGCUAAGGGCUGUCUGUUGAAGCACACUGCUUCUGUACCUUUUCCAGAAUUAAUUCAUGAAGGGAGAAAAUAAUUCCUUACUCACAUAUUACAUGCACCUGAAAUCAAGCUUCGCAAAUGCUUUAUGACUUCCUUUUUAUGUUGUGUAUUAGCUUUUCAGUAAAAAGUAAAUCUUGGGCCUGUAUAGUAAUUCAGUGUAAGGGUAGUUACAAACUCAAUUUCAAGACACAAAUUAAUGGUCAAACCGGGCCAUGGUGUCCUUGUACUUCAUUUUGUGAAGCUCUGAAGUACAGUCACCUCUCUUCUUUAUCUCUCUAGACAUCACCUCCCAAGUCCCCGUGGCUCCAGAAUGAGCUUUCUUUCCUUCAUCCAUAUCUACUGAGUCAGGAUACCUUUUCUGGAGUUCUAUGAUUAAAUAUUACCAUUAUAAAAAUUGAGGAUACAUUUUACCCUUCAAGGGCCAUUUACAUGUUACAGGGGCAUUUUUAAAUUCAGUGUUCCUCUAGUUGGUAGAAAUUCAGGCAAUAAAGCCAUGUGAAGGUUGCCAAGAAAAUGUAGAGAUACUUUUAGCACAAUUCAUGAUAGCUAAAACUUGGAAGCAGC
ensembl:lincRNA